rnacentral:rRNA from 1 species
GGGUUGUGAGGUUAAGCGACUAAGCGUACACGGUGGAUGCCCUGGCAGUCAGAGGCGAUGAAGGGCGUGCUAAUCUGCGAUAAGCGCCGGUAAGGUGAUAUGAACCGUUAUAACCGGCGAUACCCGAAUGGGGAAACCCAGUGUGAUUCGUCACACUAUCAUUAACUGAAUCCAUAGGUUAAUGAGGCGAACCGGGGGAACUGAAACAUCUAAGUACCCCGAGGAAAAGAAAUCAACCGAGAUUCCCCCAGUAGCGGCGAGCGAACGGGGAGGAGCCCAGAGCCUGAAUCAGCAUGUGUGUUAGUGGAAGCGUCUGGAAAGGCGCGCGAUACAGGGUGACAGCCCCGUACACAAAAGCGCAUAUGCUGUGAGCUCGAUGAGUAGGGCGGGACACGUGGUAUCCUGUCUGAAUAUGGGGGGACCAUCCUCCAAGGCUAAAUACUCCUGACUGACCGAUAGUGAACCAGUACCGUGAGGGAAAGGCGAAAAGAACCCCGGCGAGGGGAGUGAAAAAGAACCUGAAACCGUGUACGUACAAGCAGUGGGAGCCCCACCACUAAGCCAGUGGUGAACUCCACAUACGCAUCCUUUGCUGAGGAGACGGUUAACGGAGCGAAAGCGACGUUCAACCUCAAAAGAAGCAGAGGGGGCUUAGUGGUGGGGUGACUGCGUACCUUUUGUAUAAUGGGUCAGCGACUUAUAUUCUGUAGCAAGGUUAACUGUAUAGGGGAGCCGGAGGGAAACCGAGUCUUAACCGGGCGUUAAGUUGCAGGGUAUAGACCCGAAACCCGGUGAUCUAGCCAUGGGCAGGUUGAAGGUUGGGUAACACUAACUGGAGGACCGAACCGACUAAUGUUGAAAAAUUAGCGGAUGACCUGUGGCUGGGGGUGAAAGGCCAAUCAAACCGGGAGAUAGCUGGUUCUCCCCGAAAGCUAUUUAGGUAGCGCCUCGUGAAUUCAUCUCCGGGGGUAGAGCACUGUUUCGGCUAGGGGGCCAUCCCGGCUUACCAACCCGAUGCAAACUGCGAAUACCGGAGAAUGUUAUCACGGGAGACACACGGCGGGUGCUAAUGUCCGUCGUGAAGAGGGAAACAACCCAGACCGCCAGCUAAGGUCCCAAAGUCAUGGUUAAGUGGGAAACGAUGUGGGAAGGCCCAGACAGCCAGGAUGUUGGCUUAGAAGCAGCCAUCAUUUAAAGAAAGCGUAAUAGCUCACUGGUCGAGUCGGCCUGCGCGGAAGAUGUAACGGGGCUAAACCAUGCACCGAAGCUGCGGCAGCGACACCGUGUGUUGUUGGGUAGGGGAGCGUUCUGUAAGCCUGUGAAGGUGUGCUGUGAGGCAUGCUGGAGGUAUCAGAAGUGCGAAUGCUGACAUAAGUAACGAUAAAGCGGGUGAAAAGCCCGCUCGCCGGAAGACCAAGGGUUCCUGUCCAACGUUAAUCGGGGCAGGGUGAGUCGACCCCUAAGGCGAGGCCGAAAGGCGUAGUCGAUGGGAAACGGGUUAAUAUUCCCGUACUUGGUGUUACUGCGAAGGGGGGACGGAGAAGGCUAUGUUGGCCGGGCGACGGUUGUCCCGGUUUAAGCGUGUAGGUAUGUGUUCCAGGUAAAUCCGGUUCACUUUAACACUGAGGCGUGACGACGAGGCACUACGGUGCUGAAGCAACAAAUGCCCUGCUUCCAGGAAAAGCCUCUAAGCAUCAGGUAACAUCAAAUCGUACCCCAAACCGACACAGGUGGUCAGGUAGAGAAUACCAAGGCGCUUGAGAGAACUCGGGUGAAGGAACUAGGCAAAAUGGUGCCGUAACUUCGGGAGAAGGCACGCUGACACGUAGGUGAAGUGAUUUACUCACGGAGCUGAAGUCAGCCGAAGAUACCAGCUGGCUGCAACUGUUUAUUAAAAACACAGCAC